UAUAAAUGAGGAGCAGAGUCACAGUUCCUGAUCAGAAAACAGAGGCACAAAAGCUAAGAGCCGGAGCCAGGAAGCAGACAGGGUUUCUCUGUGUUUAUCCAUGGCUGUCCUGUAACUCACUCUUCAGAUGAGUUGACCUUGAACUCACAGAUAUCUGCUUGCCUUUUCCGCCUGAGUGCUGGGGAUAAAGGCAUGUGCCAUCACACCCAGUCAAAGUAAUCAAUGGUGAAAUGUGCCAGGGGGAAAAUAACACCAUACAGUGUCACCAACAUUUCGAAUUUUCCUAUUGGAGCUCUCAUGAGACCUGAUAUCUUGACUGCAGUUCUGAAGGAGACAUUUCAGAAAUCCGAGCAUGUAGACACAGUUCUGAAAACGAUGCUUCCUGGGCUCCCAUGGAUGUCUUCGUGAAUGAUUCCACUUUACACACUUGAUGGCCUAAUCCGAGGACCUGUCUGCUUCCCAAAGGGUGGGAAAUCUGCAAAGGCCCGUACACCUCUCUCUACUGUGAGAAGACCACAAAGGUGGGAAAACACGAUGAUCCUAAGCUUUGUGGUUUUCAAAGAAGUUCAUCAGUGGGGGGAGGAGAAAAUGGAGCAGAAGAGAAGUGUUGGCCAGACUUUCCCAGGAUUCCCAGCAUUGAUUUUUCAGACUCUACAAUCCCACCAGCAAUCAUGAAUGGGGCCAAAGGAAACAAGAGGUAACAGUGAAACUGCCUAAUGGCAAGCUUCCACGAAUAUCUGGGAGAUCCUAUGCUAUACAGCUAAGAUAAGGAUGGCAGAUGCAGAGAUGGUCCAUGUUCCACAAUGCUUCAAAAUGGCACAGAACCAACAAGGAAUCCUGAAACUUUAAGAGUCGGCACCUCCUUCCAUGUCUCCCCAACUACAAUCAAGUUCUCAAAUUCUCAGUUGAUUUUCCUUCACAAAAGACACCUUCAAUGUCUGAGAAACACAACAGAUGGUUACACAUUUGAAUGAAUUAUGUCAGGAAUGGGAUGGCCCAGUCAUAUUGCUGAGAUAUCAGGGGUAGAAAGAGAGUGACCUCAGGAAAAGCUAGUGCAAAGACUGAGGUUAUCAGAAUCAUGUAUUGCUUGAGUGUUGUUUGACUAGAAUCCACAUGAGUGACCUACAGUUCCUAGGGACAGCUUGUUGGUCCUGAAAUCCAAGUGAGGAUUAUUAAUCUAUUCUAUACUAUAUGUUCAUAUAUAUAUGAAUUCUAUACUACCAUUUUUGCAUACUUAUAAAGAAAUAUCCUAUAUAGUGGGAGGGUCAAACCUUCAUUACCUUACCCUUUAUAAAAACAUUAAACAAGUGCUUCAAACCAGGCUGGUGAUGGGGAUAGAUAAGGUUUUGAAUGAAAAUCGGUGCACAAAAGUUCCUCUAGUUGUAUAUCAAUAUUGAAAAGAGAAUGUUGAAGGUUGAAAAUAUUAGACUAGCCAGUAAAUAUUAAGUCUAGGGAUAGGAAGAGAUUGAAGCUGACUUAAGACUGAAUAAGACAAGAAGAUGUGAAAAAGUAAAGUAACUACCAGACUCUGAGGGACACAUUGGCAACAUUUUAUAAAACCCCAAAGAUGUAAAAAUAAGAAACAUGAAUAUUCUGAAACCAAUAAAGUACUUUUAGGAAUUUAUCCUUCACACAUGGUGACUUUCAUAAAAGUUGUUUAUGGAAGACCAUUUGGCAAAAUUGCUUGUACUGUCAAAUAUUGAACGGAAGUUGGAUGUCUACCACAACAGAAUCUAUUAAUAAAAUAUGCAAAUCCACCUAAUUUAACAUUAUAUAACCAUUAAAAGUAUCCUGGGACAUAGUCAUGAUCUCAGAUAUAUUAUUUAGAGAAGCAACAGGAGGGUGGGACAGACAUGUAUAAUAAAAUACAUUUCUAAAAAUACACAGAACAGCAAAACUCAUACUUCAUAGAAAUCAGAAAAGUUUAACUUUUAAAUCACUUGUGUGCAAUGGAAGUACUGUUUGUUUUUCGUGAAUAAGGAAGAAAUUAACACUGGGGUGAAAACGAUAAAAAUUGAAAUCAGAGAAGACAGAAAUUUAAUGUAAAAACAUUCUAGGGUUAGAAAGAAGCAAGAAAUGGUAAAUAUUCUGAAUAAUGAAAGAGUGUUUUCUGAGUUAAAAUUUCCAGACUCGAGAAUUCCGUGGAUGGUAAGUAACAUUACAAAUGGAAUGGCAUUCAUGCUUUCAAUUGUAGAAACAAUGAAAUUUAUCUUAUAAAGUCAGAAGUUCCUACUUCAAAUGAGAGCUUGUCAUCUCAAAUACCACUCCUGGAACAUUAGAUGAACAUGAUUUCAGUGUCAGGACAUAAAAUAUCUAUAGUGCUUUUAAAAUUAUAUCUUACCCAAAUUACUCUUCUAGUGAACAUAUAUAUAUAUAUAUGUAUGUAUAAAAGACCAGAUAAUCUCAGGAAUACAUGUAACAAAAUUGACAGAAUCAUUACAAAAAUCAGUACGGUAUUAAAAAGAAAACUGAAGUAGUGUUUCAUACAAAUUGAAUUUUAUGGCCCCAAACUACAAAAUUCUUGAUACUGAUGCUCAUGAGCACAGAAUGAAGGGUGCAGCUGCUGAUAUGUGUUGAUAUGCUAUGUGCUGCUAUGCUAUGCUAUGCUAUGCUAUGCUAUGCUAUGCUAUGCUAUGCUAGAUAUGAUAUGAUAUGAUAUGAUAUGAUAUGAUAUGAUAUGAUAUGAUAUGAUAUGAUAUGUGGAAACAAAUUCAGGCAUAUUGGUACAAACUGAGAAAAUUUAUCCGCACCAUCAACUUUCUUGGAUGA
ensembl:lincRNA Gm29260 predicted gene 29260